rnacentral:rRNA from 1 species
GACGUAGGGCGCGAGCGUUGUCCGGAUUUAUUGGGCGUAAAGAGCUCGUAGGCGGUUUGUCGCGUCGUUCGUGAAAACUCCACGCUUAACGUGGAGCGUGCGGGCGAUACGGGCAGACUUGAGUUCGGUAGGGGAGACUGGAAUUCCUGGUGUAGCGGUGAAAUGCGCAGAUAUCAGGAGGAACACCGGUGGCGAAGGCGGGUCUCUGGGCCGAUACUGACGCUGAGGAGCGAAAGCGUGGGGAGCGAACAGG